UACGUAGGGUGCAAGCGUUGUCCGGAAUUAUUGGGCGUAAAGAGCUCGUAGGCGGUUUGUCGCGUCUGCUGUGAAAACUCGGGGCUCAACUCCGAGCUUGCAGUGGGUACGGGCAGACUAGAGUGCGGUAGGGGAGACUGGAAUUCCUGGUGUAGCGGUGGAAUGCGCAGAUAUCAGGAGGAACACCGGUGGCGAAGGCGGCGACCUGGGUCGAGACUGACGCUGAGGCGCGAAAGCGUGGGGAGCAAACAGG
rnacentral:rRNA from 1 species